CCGACCACUCUCCCACUAGCACCCUAUAACCGUCUGUGCUCGCCACGUGAAUGUCCACCAUCAAAUCCACACUAUUUAUUAUGUCCAUCAACCCGAACUUAUCGUCCCUCCGCCGCGUCUUUACAAACACGAACAUAAGCCAUAUUCCGUUGCCGAGGAGACCAGAUAAGAGGCUGGCAGUAGCCACGAAUACGCCAAACUUCAAAUGUUUCCCCAUGCCAAGCGCAAUCAUGCAAGAGAAGAGGCAGCAGCCGUGCCGAGACCGUCGUCAAAAUUGAAGAAGGGGAUUAUGCUGAGAGAACAAAGCACGGUGGUGGAGUCAUGCGAUAUGCUUUUUGCGUCGACUUUGAGAGUUUUGGAGAACCCAAUAAGGUUCUCAAAAAGAGACAGCAGCUGCAGAAGCAUGGGUGGCGAUGGUGAGGGGGCCUUUGACGACGACGUUCGAUUUGACGAUGAUGUCAUCUCCGGGAGGUUUGUGUAGCAGCGGGGAGCCAUUUCGAAGGGCAACAACAGAGGAUUGGAAGCUAAAGGGGUGGGCAAUGAAAGAUUAAGAGUGUCAAAUUUCAGCCAUAUCCAAUUGUGUCCGAGAGCCAGUUUACAGGUGAAGGCAAUGUUGCGGCAGACGAUGAUGAGUUUAAUGUCGGAAUGAAAUUCGGUUCUAGAGAGUCGGUGAUAUCUGCAAUUAAAAGCUACAUUAUCUCUAGAAGAGUUUAUUACACUGUGUAUGAGUCUGAGCCGCAGACAUUCUAUGCAAAAUGCAAGAGUUAUGGUUCUGGGUGCGAUUAGCUUAUCCGAACUAGCUUGGUUCGAAAGAAAGGCUAUUGGAAGAUCAGGAGAUACAAUGACAAACACGAGUGCACCAUGGGGACGAUUUCACAAUAUCAUGCCAAGUUAGACUCAGACAUAAUUACAGAUGCUAUUAGGCUGUUGGUUGAAGAAGACCCGUCGAUAAAGGUGAAGUCUAUUAUUGCAGAAGUUCAAUCCAGGUUCAACUACAUUGUAAGUUAUCGCAAGGUUUGGUUGGAAAAGCAGAAAUCUGUCGCAAAAAUUUUCGGUGAUUGAAAAGUUUCUUACCUGACUCUGCCAGUAUUGUUGAAAGCAAUGACUGCGAAGAUGCUAAAGUCUCAUGUUCAAAUAAAAACACUCCCCGUAUAUCGUGAGAGUGAGGAGGUUCGUCAAAGUGUAAGAGUUUCCCAUCGCAUUUUUUGGAGCUUCAAUCCGUAUAUUGUAGCACUUAGACACUGCAACCCAUUGGUGCAGGUUGAUGACACACACCUGUACAGAAAAUAUAAAGGUGCACUUUUAGUUGCGGAGGCACAAGAUGGGAACCAAAACACUGUGCCUAUUGCAUUUGCGAUCAUCGAGGGUGAAAUGGCAAACGCGUGGGAGUUUUUCCUAACUAAUUUGCGGAGAUAUGUUGUUACCAUUGAUGGUGCGAUGAGAUCGGUGUUCAGAGAUGGGUGUUGGCAUUCGACGGGGUCAUCGUUGGAGUCAUAUGACGACGAAUAGGACUAAUAUAGUUGAUAACACAUAUGUGGUGGAUAACAUAUCAUGCACCAAUAUAGUUGAAUAUCACCAUUUUUUACUCCAUUAGUAAAUAAAUUUCUACCUCCAAGAUCCAUAUUUAUUCAAGAUACUAAACAGCAAAAACAAAGAGCUCAACAAGAACGACGGAGACAAAGGAAAAAAUGAUGAUAACAUACCUGUGAAUAUAGCGUCUGUCAACGCCGCGAUGAUAUACCCCUUCCUCCAAGCUGCUUCUGACACCUUGAUAACCGAAUCUACGCACAGAACCUUUUUCGACGUGCCGCCAAUGACCCACGAUGCUUGUCCCGAAUUUCAUCUCCGACGACGACCGCCAGCCACGAAGUGAGAUCAAGAGGCUUCAAGAACAACUACUCAAUCUGACUCACUACAUCUCCAUAUUCGAUUAAAUUCUCUGUUAGAACCUUAACUAUAUUUUCCAAAUUUCUUUUAUUCUUUUUCAAUAAAUUUUUUCUGAAAUCAAAAUUUCAAAUCUCUGAUCUUGUCCUCCAUUACUGUUACCAAUUGAUAUUA